GUGUCAAACAUAAGGCCCGUGGGCCAAAAUCAGGCCACAAGAGGCUCAAAUCUGGCCAAACCACAAAGAAAAUUUUAAGAGUAA